rnacentral:rRNA from 1 species
UGCCGCGUGUGUGAAGAAGGCCUUUUGGUUGUAAACUGCUUUAGCGGGGACGAGGCUACCCUGAUUAAUACCUGGGGACCAUGACCGUACCUCACAAAAUAAGCCCCGGUUACUUCUGGGCCAGCAGCCGCGGAAAUACAAAGGGGGCGAGCGUUAAUCGAAUUUACUGGGCGUAAAGCGGGCGUAGGGGGUUUAUUAAAUCAAUGGUGAAAUCCCCGAGCUUACCUGGGAAAUUGCAUUGGAUACUGGGAAGCUAAAGUAUGGGAGAGGAUGUGGAAAUUCCAGGGGUAGCGGUGAAAUGCGUAAAGAUCUGAAGGAAUACCGAUGGCGAAGGCUCCAUCUGGCCUAAUACUGACUUGAGGCACGAAAGCAUGGGAAGCAAACAGGAUUAUAUACCCUGGUAGUCCAUGCCGUAAACGAUGUCUACUAGCCGUUGGGUUCUUUGACUCUUUAACGACGCUACUAACGCAAUAAGAACACCGCCUGGGGACUACGGCCGCGAUACUAAUCCUCAAAUGAAUUGACGGCCCCCCCCACAAGCGGAGGAUGAUGUGGUUUAAUUCGAUGCACCGCAAACAUCCUUACCUGUUCUCGACAUACUAAACACUUUCAAAAGAUGGAGUGGUGCCUUCAGAAAUCU